rnacentral:rRNA from 1 species
GACGAACGCUGGCGGCGUGCCUAACACAUGCAAGUCGAACGAAGUGGCGAACGGGUGAGUAACGCGUAAUCAACCUGCCCUUCAGAGGGGGACAACAGUUGGAAACGACUGCUAAUACCGCAUACUGAAGGAGGGGAUUGCGUCUGAUUAGCUAGUUGGAGGGGUAACGGCCAACCAAGGCGAUGGUCAGGAGCCGGUCUGAGAUGCUUGACGGCCACAAUGGGACUGAGACAAUGCCCCGACUCCUAAGGGAGGCAGCAGUGGGGAAACUUCCGAAAUGGACGAAAGGCUGACGGAGCAACGCCGCGUGGGUGAUAAAGGCCUUCGGGUUGUAAAGCUCUGUUAAUCGGGACGCGGUACCGGAAUAGAAAGCCACGGCUAACUACGUGCCAGCCGCCGCGGUAAUUC